rnacentral:ncRNA from 1 species
AUGUGGUUUAAUUCGAUACAACGCGCAAAACCUUACCAACCCUUGACAUAUGAACAACAAAACCUGUCCUUAACGGGAUGGUACUUACUUUCAUACAGUUGUUGCAUGUCUGUCGUCAGUUCGUGUCGUGAGAUGUUUGGUCAAGUCCUAUAACGAGCGAAACCCUCGUUUUGUGUUGCUGAGACAUGCACCGUAGGAGAAAGUCUUUGCAACUGAAGUGAGCCAAGGAGUCGAGUGACGUGCCAGCGCUACUAAUUGAGUCCCAGCACGU